rnacentral:miRNA from 1 species
GACCGGAAGGGUUUCCUUCCGGUCGAUCAGGUAGAUGUAUCUCAUCAAUCGGAAGGGUUUCCUUCCAGUUGAUGAGGUACAUGUACCUUGUUGACCGGAAGGGUUUCCUUCCGGUC